UACAGAGGGUGCAAGCGUUAAUCGGAAUCACUGGGCUUAAAGCGUUCGUAGGCGGGCUUGCAGGCGCGUUGUGAAAGCCCCCGGCUCAACCGGGGAACUGCUUCGCGAACCGCAAGUCUUGAGUCAAGUAGGGGCGGUCGGAACGAUAGGUGGAGCGGUGAAGUGCGUAGAUAUCUAUCGGAACGCCAAAGGUGAAGACAGGCCGCUGGGCUUGUACUGACGCUGAGGAACGAAAGCGUGGGGAGCAAACGGG
rnacentral:rRNA from 1 species